rnacentral:sRNA from 1 species
ACACUAAUUCUACGAAAAUGAAUUUCAGCAUUGAAUUCUAUUUACGGAAGGUGUGGAACAUAAGUCCUUGCACACGCUAGAUUUAAAUGAAAAUCUCAAUACUCUGUACUAAGCAAUUUGUAUGAGAGUCGAUUGAAAUUCUUUUGCUUCAUAGCCACUCCAUCACAAAUCUAUAUAAGUAAUGCUUGAAUACACAGAUUAAUACGAUAUAUGGCUAUCUCUGAGAUGUAUUUUUAUAUUAUAUAUAUGCUAGAUUGAUGAUAAGAUUGUAUAUACUACUAAAGUGUAGCCGUGGAUGAUAAAAAGUGGUGUUUAUAUUCUGACC